rnacentral:SRP_RNA from 3 species
CCGCGCUAGAUGGGGAGCUGGCGGUGCCCUGUUACCCGUAAUCCGCCUUAACGGGGUUGAAUUCCUAUCCGAGGCGCAUUUUGUGCGAGGUUUGGCCUGAAUCGCCGGUGUUGACGAUUGGGUCCUGCGCAACGAGAGCUUCUGAACCGUGUCAGGUCCUGACGGAAGCAGCACUAAGGAAGAAUUCCCGUGUGCCGCAGGGGUGCCUGAUCCGAGUCGUAGGUUCAGGGUCCGCUCGGGCAAAAUGCGUCGGAGAUAGGUGCGCGG